rnacentral:lncRNA from 1 species
UGGAUCAGUUUUGUUAUUUAUGGAGGUGGGCUUAGCAGAUUUUAUUUAAAGAAAAUGGAUCGGUUGAAUUAUCUUGUUUAUGGGCCUGGCGAAUUUUAUCUCAUUUGGCCCAAAUAAUCUGAAAUUUUCAGUUUACUAAUACAACUCAACAAGACUAGUUAUGAACAAAUCUAUGUGGCCUACUUACUCAAAUCCAACUUCUCUUUUGUUAAUUUCAAAAAUUUAUCUCUAUUAAGUAUUACUACAUCACCUAAUACUAAUUUGGACAAGAAUUAAAAAAGAAUAUUUAAACUUGCACAUCUCUAAAUAGCCCAAUUUCAAUACCGAAACUAACACAUUCACCGUGCCAACCUCCAUUCCAAUUCACUAUUCACUAUUAUUCUUCAUUUAACUUCACAGAUAUUUAAUAAAACCAAAGUAAUAAAAACUCUAAACGUGGCUAUAUAGAUAUGCCAAACCCAACAACUAACUUCUUCUAUACAUUAAUAAACGCAUGAAUAGAGAGCCUACUUUUCAAACUUCAAGUUAUAUUCCAUCUAAACAAACUUCAAGUAUUUGGGACUUCCCUUUUGAACAUUGAACUCACCUAAGAAUCUAAUUUAGCUUAAGCAUUUGUCAUUCAAAAGUAACAUCACGAGGGCUUAAUUACAACAAGAAAAAUAGUGGGGAACUUCAUGGCUAAACUUUAGUGUCUUAUAAAGCAAAACAAGAAGCAAGCUCAAAAGUACAAGAAAAGAAACUAGAAAAAAUAUAUAUGAAGUUACACAUUUCAGAUCUAUACGCUAUUAAUAACUGAUUAAACUUUAACACUUGAAGAGCUUAAAUGGUCCUUAUCUUUAAUCAUUUACUAUAAAAUCUGCAUUACAAAGUUUAAGGGUUACCUGAAGAGCUGACAAUCAAACUAUAGCAAAGAUGGAACUCCGGAAGUACAAACUAACGAACAACAUCAAACUAGCCAACUUCCAGCGGUGAAAACAACAACCAAACAAUAAUAUUUUGAACCCGAAAUGACCUAGAAACUCAAACUUGAAGUUCAGUGACUUAAAAAAAUGAAGGAAGAAAGAACUCACAAAUUUCCAGUUUUUUCAGCUUACUUUGAUGUUCAACUGAUGCCUUUUUACUCUCUUUUUGUUGUGUCUUUCAUAGAGUGUCCAGAUUAUCCGUAAGUGUGUCAAGAUGUAUCUUUUAAGUAGGAAAAAUAAGUCCUUUUGGACAGAUUUUGAUUCACCAAAAAUCUGUCUAAAAGGACUAACUUUUGUAUGCCAAAAUAGUCCUCUUUUCAUCAAAUUCUGACACAAAGCCUAUUUUCCAUCAUGCUUAAAACAGUAAAAGCAAACUAACAUGUACCUAUUUCAUAAUUAACAUAUCUAGCUUUCAACUUUACACCAAAUUAGUACCACUCUAUUUGAUUCAAACUGAAACACAAGCAACCAUGUAACUAGACUCAAGUGAUCAACCAAAACAUACAAACAUCAUUUGCUAAGUAACAGCUCGAUUAACAACACUUCAACAUAAUUCAAAAAGCAAUUUGAAACCAAACGACCUGUUUGAAAACAUAAACUCAUUACAACAAUUGUAACAACCUACCGAGGAAUUGGUUAUGAACUGAUCAGAACAUCAAACUAAAUAAACUCAUAGUAACUAAACCAAACAGAUAAUCAAGAACAAACGAACAAUAAUUAACCGAUAUUAACAAAACUUUAAAUAACAAGAAUCGAUACGAGUUAGUAUUUAUUGAAACUAAACUAGAACAACUAUCCUAAUUUAACAAAAUCAAAAGCACGGAUUACAUAAUUAGGAAAAAACAUAAGCAUAUAACACAAAUUAAAACCUAAUCUUAAUUGCCAAUCGAAAGAGAGACUACAUUAAGUGUUAAACUAAGACGACUACUAACCUAAUUUAAAUUAAAAAGAGAACUAUAAUCAAAUAGCAUUGAAACAGUAAAUAAAAAGCACAGAGGAAAAGGUAAAGGUUUUACCUAAGCGCUCGACCUUCAAACCAGUAGUACGACACAAAUAGACGGUGAAUCGACCUCCAAGCCUCUUUUUCUCAACGACAAAUGCCGAAAAACACAAACUCUGGCGAACCAGAGUUGAAUCCAGCACCGUGUCAAAGAUAAAAAGAGACUACGUGAUCGUGUUCAUCCAAGAACAAUGGCUCAGCGGUGGAGAGGUCGCGGCAGUAGGGUGGUCGCGGCAGUGAAGGUGGUUGGCCGGUAGUGGUGGUGCUUUCGGGGGUAAAAUUGGUAGGAAUGGAUAGAUUUCUUUCAGAUCUAUCCAUUUAUGUAGGUGUUAUGGUGUGCGGGCGGCUAAAACUCGAGAAAUUUCAAGAACAAAGUAAGCUAGGAUUUUGGUCAAGGCUAGAUUUAAGGAGAUUGGUUAGGAUUUUAGGGGUUUGGAUUGGUGUAGAGAAUGAAGAGAGGAAGAGAUGGUGAAAUUUUGAUGGUGUUUGGACGUGCGCCGCCGCCGUGGGGGGGCGGUGGAGAAGUCUGAGGGACGAGAGAGAGUGAAGAGGGAAGGAGAGAAGAAGAAUUAUGGGG